rnacentral:rRNA from 1 species
GAGUUUGAUCAUGGUUCAGGACGAACGCUGGCGGCGUGCCUAAGACAUGCAAGUCGUGCGAUUCUCUGGAGCUUGCUCCAGAGGAUAGCGGCGGACGGGUGAGUAACGCGUAGGCAACCUGCCCACAGGACCGGGACAACAGGACGAAAGCCCUGCUAAUACCGGAUAGGCACCAGGCUCCGCAUGGAGCUCGGUGGAAAGGGGUAACCCACCUGUGGAUGGGCCUGCGUCCCAUUAGCUUGUUGGUGAGGUAACGGCCCACCAAGGCUUCGAUGGGUAGCCGACCUGAGAGGGUGACCGGCCACACUGGGACUGAGACACGGCCCAGACUCCUACGGGAGGCAGCAGUCGGGAAUUUUCCACAAUGGGCGAAAGCCUGAUGGAGCAACGCCGCGUGAGUGAGGAAGGUCUUCGGAUUGUAAAACUCUGUCCCGAGGGAAGAACACAAUGACGGUACCUCGGGAGGAAGCCCCGGCUAACUACGUGCCAGCAGCCGCGGUAAUACGUAGGGGGCAAGCGUUGUCCGGAGUUACUGGGCGUAAAGGGCGUGUAGGCGGUUCGCUAAGUCGGGUGUGAAAGUGCAGGGCUUAACCUUGCAAGUGCAUCCGAA